ensembl:lncRNA
GUAGACAUCGUUACUGGAUGAAGAGAGCCGCACCUCAGCAGAACGUGAGUGUGAUUUCCUCACACUCACCAGUUGUAGUUGUAGUUGUAGAACACUCACCAGUCCUUGUAAAGGCAGCAAUGAAGAAUUCGAAAAGGAACCAAGGUCAGAGUUACAGGAACGUGGGCAUGCAAACUUUGUGGUCUUGGGUCUGUUUCUGAUCUCCUGAACAGGCAAACGUCGGUUUAUGAAUGGGAAUAGUUAAUGGAAGUUUUUAUUUUUAUUUAUUUUUCAGGGACAAGAAGCUACGGCAAUUACUUCUGCAGACUCUCAAAGGAAUUCACGUUCCGAGAGGCGAUAAAUACCAGAAGCCGAUGGCUAAUCCACUUGAUUGAAUGAGAAGAAAAGGAAGUCGUUUCCUGUCAAUGCUUCUUUGGAUUCUUGCACAGUUUAAGAAGCACCAUUGAUCUGAUCAUCAGCACUGAAGAGGAAAUGCCCAUUCACUGAAGACACGCAAUGCUCAUCCCAGUUUGACAUGGGCAGCAAGUGGUUCCUUUUGUAGCCCUUUCUGUAAACUGUCCCCUCACAUACAUGUAAACCCCUGCUUCCUUCUUUAAGUAGCUACAUUGGUGGUGCCUCUGUUGUAAGGUUAAAGGGAAGAAUAACUAGAGAGUGGUGGGGAAAGCACUGGGGAAGCUGAUUUGUUUCUGCCUUUGUGGUGAUCUCUCAAAAUAUUUUUGAGAUAUUUUUGUUGAAAAGAUGCAAGCAAUUAUUUUUUUUUAGGAUUGAGGACUUAAAAUUCAUUGUUACUCGGGCUCAUUGGCACAUCAAUCUAAGCAGUUCGAGGUAAUGCUGUUGUGAUUGAGAAACACCACCACUGUAAAGCUUUAGCAGGGAGUCAAGCAGGUUAUGACGACACAGGGCUCAUUACUAAAUGUGAAGUUUUAAGGGAUAAAACUUUACAAUGAAACAAGAAAAAUCUCAAGAAAAAGAUUGGGCUCUAGUAAAAAUAAGCCAUGUCUUAAAAGUGGUUUUCCAUAUUCAACAUUAUUACCCUUCACAUUAAUGCUCAAGCUGGUUCAUAGUCCUCAGAAGUAAGAAUGGACAUUUAUACUUUGUGUAAUAGUAAUAUGUUGCACACACAAGUAAACACUUUUGGUGAUCAACAAAGCUUAUUUUUCUCUUUCAAUUUUAAAAAAGAUUAUUUGUAUUCUGUGUGCAUUGGUAUUUUCCUGAAUGUGUGUGUGUGUGAAGGUGCCAGAUCCCCUGGGACAGGAGCUAUGGACAGUUGAGAGUUGUCACUGGGGGCUGGGAGUUGAAACUGGUUCCUCCGGAAGAGCAGCCAAGUAUUCUUAACCACAGAGC